CCCUUCUCAGGGUCGCACCUUUAGAGUUUCCAGUAUUCUACUAGUCUCUGCUACGGGAGGGAGAGUCAAGCAGAGGCCUACCCAUUUCAUUCCUAGCUUGGGCAGUGGCUAGCAAGUGGAAGACAAUCUGCUACAACU